AGAGUUUGAUCAUGGCUCAGGAUGAACGCUGGCGGCGUGCCUAACACAUGCAAGUCGAACGGACUUACAUUGAAGCCUAGCGAUAUGUAAGUUAGUGGCGGACGGGUGAGUAACGCGUGGGUAACCUGCCUUGUACUGGGGGACAACAGUUGGAAACGACUGCUAAUACCGCAUAAGCGCACAGCUUCGCAUGAAGCAGUGUGAAAAACUCCGGUGGUACAAGAUGGACCCGCGUCUGAUUAGCUGGUUGGUGAGGUAACGGCCCACCAAGGCGACGAUCAGUAGCCGGCCUGAGAGGGUGAACGGCCACAUUGGGACUGAGACACGGCCCAAACUCCUACGGGAGGCAGCAGUGGGGAAUAUUGCGCAAUGGGGGAAACCCUGAUGCAGCAACGCCGCGUGAGUGAAGAAGUAUUUCGGUAUGUAAAGCUCUAUAGCCGUUUCCAAUGACGGUACCUGACGAGGAAGCCACGGCUAACUACGUGCCAGCAGCCGCGGUAAUACGUAGGUGGCGAGCGUUGUCCGGAAUUAUUGGGCGUAAAGGGAGCGCAGGCGGGAAGGUAAGUCUAUCUUAAAAGUGCGGGGCUCAACCCCGUGAGGGGAUGGAAACUAUCUUUCUUGAGUGCAGGAGAGGAAAGCGGAAUUCCUAGUGUAGCGGUGAAAUGCGUAGAUAUUAGGAGGAACACCAGUGGCGAAGGCGGCUUUCUGGACUGUAACUGACGCUGAGGCUCGAAAGCGUGGGGAGCGAACAGGAUUAGAUACCCUGGUAGUCCACGCCGUAAACGAUGAAUGCUAGGUGUAGGAGGUAUCGACCCCUUCUGUGCCGGAGUUAACGCAAUAAGCAUUCCGCCUGGGGAGUACGGCCGCAAGGCUGAAACUCAAAGGAAUUGACGGGGGCCCGCACAAGCGGUGGAGUAUGUGGUUUAAUUCGACGCAACGCGAAGAACCUUACCAGGGCUUGACAUUGAGUGAAAGGACAAGAGAUUGUCCCCUCUCUUCGGAGACACGAAAACAGGUGGUGCAUGGCUGUCGCCAGCUCGUGUCGUGAGAUGUUGGGUUAAGUCCCGCAACGAGCGCAACCCCUAUCCUUUGUUGCCAGCACGCAAUGGUGGGAACUCAAAGGAGACUGCCGCGGACAACGCGGAGGAAGGCGGGGAUGACGUCAAGUCAUCAUGCCCCUUAUGUCCUGGGCUACACACGUACUACAAUGGGAUGGACAGAGAGCAGCGAAGCCGCGAGGCCAAGCGAACCCCAUAAACCAUCUCCCAGUUCGGAUUGCAGGCUGCAACCCGCCUGCAUGAAGUUGGAAUCGCUAGUAAUCGCAGGUCAGCAUACUGCGGUGAAUACGUUCCCGGGCCUUGUACACACCGCCCGUCACACCACGGAAGUCAUUCACACCCGAAGCCGGCAGGCUAACCUUUAUGGAGGCAGCCGUCUAAGGUGGGGGCGAUGACUGGGGUGAAGUCGUAACAAGGUA
rnacentral:rRNA from 1 species